CCACCGCCCCUCCCCCAACCAAUCUUGCCCGGAACAAACGACGCGAGCUCCCUCCCUCCAUCGCGUAGCUUCCUCUCCUCUCCACGCGCCCGAACUAACCAACUAGAGCGAGCUCCCCUCCCCUUCCCGCCGCUGGCGACCGGAGGCUACCCCGCGCGCCCGCCAGCCCCGCCGUCGCCUCCCCGUCUCGCGGCUCCACCCCGUGGCCCGUUGCCGGCGAGCCGCCGGCUGCGAGGAAGAAGGCAGGCACGGCGCUCGGCACACCACUGCUAUUUUUGGCUUACAUGAAGGGAUGCAUGCUCUUCAUCUUGCAGGGACUCAGGGCAAUGGAUAAAAUCUAGAUGCCAAGUUGACUUUUUUCCUGCGGAUUUGCUUAUCGUGAAGAUGCACAAAGGGUUAAUAGCUCAAGCAUUGGAUUGUUGGCAAAAUAGAAGUUCCUUCACCAAAGGAAGAAAGUAGUUGCACCGAUUCGGAAGCUACUAGAGAUACUGAAAACUUUGAAACUAGUGGCGAUGACGACAAUGAUCGUAAUCACAAGCACCGAAGACCACUGCCACGUUCUUGCACUAUAGUAUUAUCUCAAUCACAGCAUUGAAAUAGUAUAAUAUAUUACUUCACAUUUUCUGUAUCAUGAGGAUCAUGGCCACGUUGUGCCAAUAUAUGUGUAGCCUUGAAAGGUGUCCUCUUAAGUGUAGUUACCAUUAAUGAUUUGAGUUGCAAUUAACGUUCCUCACAAUACGCUCCAAAAUCCUAACUGAGUAGCGUCAAUGAGUGUCAGAUUCAGAUCCAACUAUGAUGUAGCACUUGCUUGCCU
rnacentral:rRNA from 1 species